CCUACGGGUUGCAGCAGUGAGGAAUAUUGGUCAAUGGACGGAAGUCUGAACCAGCCAAGUAGCGUGAAGGAUGACUGCCCUAUGAGUUGUAAACUGCUUUUAUACAAGGAUAAAACUAGACACGUGUGCCUUGUUGCAUGUACUUUAUGAAUAAGGAUCGGCUAACUCCGUGCCAGCAGCCGCGGUAAUACGGAGGAUCCAAGCGUUAUCCGGAUUUAUUGGGUUUAAAGGGAGCGUAGAUGGGUUGUUAAGUCAGUUGUGAAAGUUUGCAGCUCAACCGUAAAAUUGCCACUGAUACUGGUAGUCUUGAGUACAGAUGCGGUAAGCGGAAUGCAUGGUGUAGCGGUGAAAUGCUUAGAUAUCACGAAGAACCCCGAUUGCGAAGGCAGCUUACUAAACUGUGACUGACAUUGAGGCUCGAAAGUGUGGGGAGCAAACAGGAUUAGAUACCCUAGUAGUC
rnacentral:rRNA from 1 species